rnacentral:lncRNA from 1 species
ACAGAAGGGUUAAACUUUAACUUUACAAAGAAAAUCUUCUUUCUUUCAGGAACCUGGGAGCCGUCACUGCUGAUCAGUCCCACUGGUCAAGUGUCAGUUGGCAGCCAGGUGAAUCUGACCUGCUCCUGCAGAGUAAACCCUCCUGUUAGCAGCUUUCUCUGGUUCAGGAUCAGCGAUGGCAGACUUGAGAUAAUCAAAGCGAAUGCACAGGUUUACAGCUUUAAGGUGACCAGCAGGGAUCGAGACGUGCUGUUCUAUUGUGGAUGCAGGCAGGAUGCAGACUUCCAGCUGUCAGCAGCACGUCAGCUGAUACUUGAAGGUCAUCGGGGUGGGGCUGGUGUCCAAGUUAUAGUGAAGACUCUUGGAAUCAUAAUCCUUGUCUGCACAGUCAUCGUCUUUGAGUGCUGGUUUAGAUCAACACGCUCCAAGCAGGCGGGGCUGGCAGCACCCUGUGACACCAGCACAGCUGUAGCAUGGACGGCAACAAAUGCACAAACGACUUGAUGUGUUGCAAUUCAGCCAGGUUACGAGUGAGGCCAUGUGAGAUUAGAUCAAACAUGUUUCUGUACUUCUGCUUUUUUUAUGGUAGAUCUUUGCUACUGCUAAAGUCCACUUGAAACAGAAAUAAAAAUCUUUUGUUUACUUCA